UACGUAGGGGGCUAGCGUUGUCCGGAAUCAUUGGGCGUAAAGAGCGCGUAGGCGGCCAGAUAAGUCCGGUGUGAAAGUCACAGGCUCAACCUGUGAAUGCCGCUGGAAACUGUAUGGCUAGAGUCCGGAAGGGGCGAGUGGAAUUCCUGGUGUAGCGGUGGAAUGCGCAGAUAUCAGGAGGAACACCAACGGCGAAGGCAGCUCGCUGGGACGGUACUGACACUGAGGCGCGAAAGCGUGGGGAGCGAACAGG
rnacentral:rRNA from 1 species